rnacentral:tRNA from 1 species
UAAUAAGAAACAAUUAUGUAUUUAGUUUCGACCUAACCUCUGAUGUUAAAUCAUCCUUAUUUU